rnacentral:rRNA from 1 species
AAUGCUAUGCGAUUAUAUCCACAUUAUGAAUCACNNNNNAACCAAGCAAGGCUUGAGUCAGUUUUGAAAGCUAAUAAACACAACCCUUCCCNGAAGUCGGAUUUGUAUGCAUGUAUUAGCUCUAGAAUUACCACAGGUAUCCAUGUAAUAAUGAUCAUCAUAUAAAUUAUAACUGUUUUAAUGAGCCAUUCGCAGUUUUACCAUAUAAAAGUUUACACUGAGACAUGCAUGGCUUAAUCUUUGAGACAAGCAUAUGACUACUGGCAGGAUCAACCAG